rnacentral:ncRNA from 1 species
CGUUAGUUUCAGGGAAGGUGCAACUCCUUACUGGCGGUAACGAUGCAGCCGACAAGAAAACGGUUGAUGUCGAAGCCCGCGACCCGCGCAAGCGGCUGAUCCGGUGAGAAUCCGAGGCCAACGGUUACAGUCCGGAUGAAAGAAACGAGGC